CUUCACCGAGCCCAGCCACAGCGGCUGCUCCGCGGGACGCCCCUGGCCGUAGGUGGCGAGGAGUGCCUGGGCCUC
rfam:Streptomyces sp. FXJ1.172 contig00129, whole genome shotgun sequence.